GUGGCAAAGGGCUGAUGGGACGUAUCAGGAGACUCUGGCCCCUUUAAAAGCCUUUCCUAGAAGACAUCCCAGUGACUUUUGCUUACAUUUCAUUUGCCAGAGAAAGCUUCAAGGGAGCCUGGCUCCCUGCCAGUGGAAGACAUACAGCAUUACUAAGAAGCGACUGUCUCCUGGAAUUUACAAUCUGCCUAAAAACAAGCAGUAAACAAUUACAAAGGUGAUCCAGAUUAAAGCUGAUGUUAACCACAGCCUAACCAGAGGAGGUGAGACUACAAACACCUGCUUUGUUGAAAAGGACAAAUUUGGAUCAGAG